rnacentral:ncRNA from 1 species
AUUCAAGGGGUGCCCGCAUGUUGCGGGCUGAGAUGAUACCCUUCUGACCUGAUCCGGACAAUGCCGGCGUAGGGAUGGACA